CUAAAAUACAGUUCCUUUAGUACUUGCAAAUUUAGGAAAUCAGGUUUUAAUGGGUCAAGAUGAAUCAUCCUGAACAAACACUAGCUCAGAUACCACGUACGUCAACCAUGCCUGAGUACAGGUAACAUCUGCAUUUAACCAGAUUAUCCUUCAGACCAAGGAAUCCUCCAUGGAAUGUCAAGUGUCUCAGAAUAUGUGCCCAUAUUUUGGCUUUACAAUCUGUUUUGC